rnacentral:rRNA from 1 species
UACGGAGGGUGCAAGCGUUAAUCGGAUUUAUUGGGCGUAAAGGGCGCGUAGGCGGGGAGGCAAGUUAGAUGUGAAAUCCCGGGGCUCAACUCCGGACCCGCAUCUAAUACUGCUUUUCUAGAGGAUGGAUGGAGAAAAGGGAAUUCCACGUGUAGCGGUGAAAUGCGUAGAUAUGUGGAAGAACACCAGUGGCGAAGGCGCUUUUCUAAUUCAUUCCUGACGCUGAAGCGCGAAAGCAAGGGGAGCAAACAGG